UACGGAAGGCAGCAGUGGGGAAUAUUGCACAAUGGGCGAAAGCCUGAUGCAGCUAUGCCGCGUGUAUGAAGAAGGCCUUAGGGUUGUAAAGUACUUUCAUCGGGGAGGAAAAACAAAACUAAUAAUUUUAUUUCUUGACGUUACCCGAAAAAGAAGCACCGGCUAACUCCGUGCCAGCAGCCGCGGUAAUACGGAGGGUGCUAGCGUUAAUCAGAAUUACUGGGCGUAAAGAGCACGUAGGGUGGUUUUUUUAAGUCAGAUGUGAAAUCCCUGGGCUUAACCUAGGAACUGCAUUUUGAAACUGAAAUACUAGAGUAUCGUAGAGGGAGGUAGAAUUCUAGGUGUAGCGGUGAAAUGCGUAGAUAUCUGGAGGAAUACCUGUGGCGAAAGCGGCCUCCUAAACGAAUACUGACACUGAGGUGCGAAAGCGUGGGGAGCGAAACAGGGAUUAGAUACC
rnacentral:rRNA from 1 species